AAACGCUGCGAGAAACCGCGGUUACUGGGAGCGCGCGCCGGCCGUUCCGUCAGGUGGGUGGGGUACGCGCGGUGGCGCGAGCUCGUCGCCGCGUGCCGGCUUGUCCCGCAGAUGCGGCGCUCGGCCCGGCCAUCCCCGCGAGCCGCGCAGACGCCCCCUCUCCUCCACUUCCGCCUAGGCUGCAGCCGAAUAAAGCUGUCCAGACUCUGCCGCCAUUAAUCCCGGGCGAUGGCGGCUGCAGCCGCGGGCUCGGGUCAGAGUGAAACAUGGACGCUUGCUUCCUCGUUGUGGGGCAUCCAUCGCAGACUAAGGAGCCUUAUAGUCGCUCUCAAGGUCACCGAGCUUGGGCGACUUAACUGGUACCCCACGGUGCCCGGUCUGCGCCCCGAUGCAGGGUAGAGCCUGCAAAGUUUGCUCAACUUUCGCUUUCCCGCCUCGCCCAAACCGCGCGCGCGGCAAAUGCGACUUGAUGAGGCUGCAUGAAAAAACAAAAAAAAAAACAAGACAAACGGUCACAGGGCUCACUUUCCCAGGAGGAGAGCAAGGUUUUGCAUAGGUUGCCUUUACGCUCUGAGCACGCAGCUCCGCCAUGCAGAUGCUAGGAGGGGCACCUGCGGCCUUUGUAAGGGCUUUGCUCUGGCUGCCAGACCUGUGGGUCUCCCUGGGCCUCUACACACAGACCCCAGGAUAGCUGAAUACCCUCGUUUGACAAGCCACAUCGUUUGCCUCCAGCUCCCAGACGUAUCCUCGGCCUGGCCCCCCUCAGGCUACUCUGAUUUAUUGGGGAGACUUAGUUGUUUCUGCUUCCAAGAAAGGUCAAAAUAUUAACCAGUUUUUCAGACACAACUCUAAUGCUUUUGUUCCCCUAAGGGAGUUGUGGUGCAGGCUACAGUUGUUAAACCUGUUUUUGUUGUGACCUUCAGAAGAUUCUAGCAAAACUUCAUUUCCUUCUAGAUCUUUUUUUUUCUUUCUGGGUUAGACAUGCCUAGUAUAGUAGUAAUGGGGCUCAUUUGAACGUCCUUUUGUCUUUUUCCUCUCCUCCCUGCCUCAUAAUCUCAGCUCUUGGCCCAAGGGAACAGGAGUCGAACUUUAUGUUCAUACAUUUAGUGAGUUCUAGGCCAGAAAGAACUUCUUGAGAUACUUUCUGAAAAACAACAAAAAAUCUGAUGUAUCUAAAUGACUUGUGAUAUUCUCUGUUCCAAAAUUUUUUGGUUUGUAAAACAAACAAGUAAUGACUACCAGGCUGGUGAGAUGGCUCAGUGGGUAAGAGCACCCGACUGCUCUUCCGAAGGUCAGGAGUUCAAAUCCCAGCAACCACGUGGUGGCUCACAACCAUCCGUAACGAGAUCAGACUGGAGUGUCUGAGGACAGCUACAGUGUACUUACAUAUAAUAAAUAAAUAAAUAAAUCUUUAAAAAAAAAAAAAAAGUAAUGACUACCUUUAAUCCCAGCACUUGGGAGGCAGAAAGCAGGUGUCUGGUCUACAUAGUUCCAGGACAGCCAGAGCUACAUAGAGAGACCCUGUCUCAAAAAAAAAAAAAAGUAAAUAAAAAUUAAAAUUUCACCAGGCGUGGUGGUGGCGCACACCUUUAGUCCCAGCACUUGGGAAAGAGACGGGCAGAUUUCUGAGUUUGAGGCCAGCCUGGUCUACAAAGUGAGUUCCAGGACAGCUGGGACUAUACAGAGAAGCCCUGUCUCGAAAAAAAAC
rnacentral:lncRNA from 1 species